AGAAAGUAUUUGCCGUCGCUGAAAGCUUUUAAUCGCCUUAAUAUUCGUCGAAAGUCUCUCGCUUAAACGUGUCGAACAAAUUGGCCAUUUCGCAAUUCAGGACACAAAUAAACUAGCCUGAAAUGUCAGAGAAUAGUUUGGUUGUAUAUUUCUGAAUGAUUAUCACUUUGUCUGAAUACAGACGAGCCAAAUGGAUUUUAAUGUGAGUAAUACAUAAUAUUGUGUCUUUAAUGUUUUAUGUUUAGACGUGAUUAAAGUUUAUAACUUCGAAUUUGAAAUAUACACCACCAAAAUUUAUUAAGCUUGAGUUUAUAAUUACAAGUCCAUAUAUAAAACGACACGAGUAUUCGAUCGUGUGAUGUUAAGUACUUUAUAAUCUACAAAGAUUGUAUUUUGAACACUUAGAUGCCAGUAGCUGCGUUCAAGUAUACAUCUUUGUGACUUCGACUUUGAAAUAUGUACUGAUUAAAUUUACAAAUUUGUAUUUGUAUUAAAUAUUAGGGAUUUGUUUUAGGAUCUUUCCAUAACGAUUGUGUUUAAAAUAUUUGAAUGGUUAUAGCUUUUGUACAAUACUUAUUAAAGUAAACACUCUAUUCUUUAGUGUGAAUUAUUUUGUAGUGUCUUAAAUUGUAAACAAUAGAUCUUACCGCGUUUUAUACACUUGUCACCCAAUGGCCUUCGUGUCAUGUACUCAUGUUUUGUAUUGAAAAUUAUUUUGUUAUUGAGCCUAAGAACAGCAAGAAACAAAGUCGUUCAGGAAAACAUGGGAAUAUAUAAAUCUUUAUCUGCCCCUGACAUGCUAAAUAAGGUAACAUGGAAACGAGGCCAUUGGGUGAAAGAGAAUAAUCGGUAAUGCCUAUUUUUAGUAUUUUGUUUACAAUUUUAUUUGAGCUAUUAGUUUGUUGUUUAAGGCUGGGUUACACUAUCAAAGUUUCUGUGAUCACAGUAGGAAUUUUGCUUGGCUAAAUUUUUGAAGGAUUUGUAAGAAAUGUUUGAGGGAAUUAACUGAUGGGUAUUACAGUUGAUUUCACGAAACUUUGGCCGCUCCAGUUGCGAAAUUGGUUGGAAAUUUGGGAAGUCAAGUUGAUUGGAAACCGGCGAAUCAAAUUCGGAAGUUUCACGUCAAAUUAUGGAAACUCGUGAGGAAAUUCCGAACCAAUUUCGCAAGCAAGUUCGCAAAUUGCAAACGAUUUUGGCGGUAAAUUUUAAAAACUAAACGUAUUUUACUAAACCCAUUAUAAUUUUAAAAACUGAAAUUAUUAUUAUUAUUAUGAUAUUAUGAAUAAAUGAAUAAGUUUAAUACAAUGUCAAUAAGUUUAGUUUUAGAAAUUUACCGCAAAAAUCGUUUGCAAUUUGCGAACUUGCUUGUGAACUUGGUUGGGAAUUUCAUCACGAGUUUGGAUAAUUUGAUGCGAAACUUGAUGAUCUCGUGUUUAUAUAGUUCCCAAAUUCCCAACCAAUCUCGCAACUGGAGCCACCAAAGUUUUGUAAAAUCAACUGUAAGGGAAGCCUCACAUCGAUUUUUUCCACGAGAAACGUCAUAUGUUCGUUUGGGAGAGGGGGUGCAGCUGUGACGUUUCUCUGUUAACAUGGAAAAAUUCGAUAGUUUUUUCGGAAUCAGAAUAUAAAAAGAAAACAACUGGAUACAAACAACAGUCUAUACAUUUGUUAUUAUACCUGUUCUAUACGUAUACAUUUAUAUCUAUUAUAAUUUCAAGAAAAACGCGCUAAAAUUAUCAAUAUUUCAUGCAAAAAAAGUUGUUUUGAGAAACGUUGGAAAUUUUGAAGUUCGUAUAUAUUAAAUAAGAAAGAUUUGUCAGCAGAAGAUGACAUAUUCCUCGCAGAAGCUUCGCCAAUAGCCGACCGUGGAAAAUAGUAGAAAAUUACUUUAUGUGUACUAUAAGAACGACAUAUCGAUAACUACAGUAUGUGUGACGUUUCUAGGGGGGGUCUCCAGAAACGAACAUAUGACGUUUCUCAUGGACAAAAUCGAUAUGCGAACUUCCCCAAGUCAGUUUACACAAAAUCCAGUGUAGGUUUUAGAUCAGCGAUUUACUCUUCAUCAUUCCUCUGUCAGACUGAAGAAGACAACAGUAUCAAUGAAGAGGCAGUGAUAGAAAGUCUGUUUACUGGCUGUGACACUGAAGGCAAUGGUUUGUUGAGAGUGUCCAAGCUUAUUGAAUAUCUUAGCACUGUGGCAGGAGACAAUAUCGAA